rnacentral:rRNA from 1 species
UUCGGUCACAUCACGUUGAAACACCGGUUACCAUACGAUCACCGAAGUUAAGCAACGUCGAACCUGGUCAGUACCUAGAUGGGUGAUCGCCUGAAAUACCAGGUGCUGUAAG